GUACUUCCGUUAACAGGUCUCAAUGUAUUUACUGGGGAGGUGAUCGGUCGUUUAUUAUGUAGAGAACCAGAUGCUUGGACUGUAUGUACCCGGUACCUGUUUCCUGGACUAUGACUUCCGCAAUGAGAUAAACAUACCCAUAGAGAAUUAACCUUGGGUCAUCAAAUCUGGGAGCAACUGAUAGACAACAUAAUUUACUCUGUUACUCACAAAACAGUGCAGCCUCCCCUCUUUCCGGAUUAACGAAUGGGUAAGCGAAGUUACCACUGAAGAAAAAAUUGAAAGCAAUACCAGCCUGCUUUAUGGAGUGGGUUUGCCGAUAACGAACAGAAACCUGGUUUUCCAAAAAAACCAUGUUGCACAAAGAAAAUUGCAAGAAGAAAUCAGUUUGACACAGUAUUAGGGAAUAUUCAUACGCACAGAAGUUUUAUAACCUUACUGUGGCAAUUAUAAGAUGGAGUGGUUGUGAAUGGGCGUCCUGGCAGUUGGAUGGAGGAUUUUAAAGGAAAAGAUGGAGUCAUAUAUUUGCGUGCAGCUGAAAGAUAUGUGAGUGUAUGUGGGGGUUAAGUGGCUUUGCUGAUACUACGUAUGCUUUUGGAUGGUGUUUUUGAUUCUUCCUUUGUAAUGUUUGCAAGAAGAAGUGAAGAGCCCAAGAGAAGAGAGAGAGGCUUGCCGAAGUGCUGACGUAUCCGUGUUGGACUGAGAAUGAUGCAAUAACUGAAGUGUUAGGUCUCAUAAGGGAGAAGGUUUUUUUCAUGUUUUUUCUUCACAUUUGUCAAAGAGCCAAGCCACAGCAGCAAGACUUGCAACCACAGCGAAUGCGAACAAAGAAAGCUCAAAGCCGAAGGAUGACUUUGUGUACCUCAACAAGAUUGAUAAUCUUUCGAAGAUAAUAAAUGUAUUAAAAGAUGGCAUUGGUAGCAGACGAUGAUGACGUGUUGCUAGUGUGACAUUACAGCCUGGUGGUUAACGAGAUCUCUUAUUGACGUUCACGUUAGUGAAGGAAUGGAUUUUUUCCUUGGAUGGAAGAGAGUUAGAUUCAUGAUUGAAAGACCCUCUAUCAAGGAAUUCGUCAAUUACAAGUGAAGGAAGAAAAUGAUAUGAUUGCAGGAAAAAACUUAUGGGCCUAAGCAUAUAGCAUAACAUUUCAAAAGGCUGCCGAAGUAAAGGAAAGUAGUUCAGGGGAGUUUUAUCAGAAUUUCCUGUGUCUCUCUGGUAUUCUGAACAGUUGAACUUCUAUAUAAUCUGGAGAAGUGGGAUCCUGUUUACAAGAUGGUUUUGCUUCUGAAGAUUUUGGAAGUUAUAAACAGGUAACUUGGCAUUGAUGUCUCAUGGAAGGGUCAAAGCUUUUGCAGAAGGGAGAAGUGAUGACUUGGACAGUUUAGUGGUAAAAGUCUGUCCAGUUUCUGGAAAAACAAAUCAAUGAAUAUAUCUUCAGUAAAAUCAAAUUUACUGCAAAAUCUGACCUCACGAUUAUGCACGCCAGUGGUGUGUCGGAAGUCGGAGUUUUCCAACAGGAUAUCCCGUUAUAGAUUGGAGGGAGGGUACAAAUAAUGAUCUUAUAAUUGCAUGAUGGAAAGACACAAAGUGCUCCGGUUGUUUACGGUUUUUCUGUUAUUACGAGCUACUAUUCUCAAGAUGCAAUAUGUAUAUAUAUUUAUGGUUUUUGUUUUUGAUGUAUUUGAACAUGAAGUAUGUAAUAG